GAUAAACGCUGGCGGCGUGCAUGAGACAUGCAAGUCGAACGAAGGAUCGGGCUUGCUCGAUCCUAGUUGCCGACGGGCUAGGUAACGGUUGGGUACCCAACCCGGAGGGGGGAAUUAACGCCCGAAAGGGGUGGCAAUACCGCAAGGGGUUGGAAGGUCAAUCGGUCCGGUUAAGCCGCAAGGCGCUUCGGGAGGGGCCUGCGUCCGAUUAGCUCGUUGGUGGGGUAAUGGCUUACCAAGGCGACGAUCGGUAGGUGGUCUGAGAGGACGAUCACCCAGACUGGGACUGAGACACGGCCCAGACUCCUACGGGAGGCAGCAGUCGGGAAUUUUGCUCAAUGGGGGAAACCCUGAAGCAGCAACGCCGCGUGAGGGAUGAAGGCCUUCGGGUUGUAAACCUCUUUUGUCAGGGACGAUGAUGACGGUACCUGGCGAAUAAGCCACGGCUAACUACGUG
rnacentral:rRNA from 1 species